rnacentral:SRP_RNA from 2 species
CCUCGGUCCUCUCGCAACGAAUAAUUGCGAACCCCGCCAGGCCUGGAAGGGAGCAACGGUAGCGACGACUUUGUGUGCCGGGAUGUGGCUGAGGUGA